CGCGCGUCGUCCUCCUAUGUCCGAGUCUCCGACAAGGCGACAACCCUGAGUCCUGACUCCCUGAGAUCCCAGGUUCCGCCUUCGCCAGCCGGACGCCAAUGCAGAGGAGAGGAAAGUGUGAGCGACCGAGAUCAAGCUGCGUGCCCAACUGCCCACUUUCUCAUCAUCGGUGGCUUCGGCUAGUCUUCCGCCUCGCCUGCGUGCUCGCGGAAAGCCUUCCACCUGUUCGACAGAAUGCCUACGCCGCACCCAUUCCCGCGCUCUGCAUCCACUGGCUGCACCAGUUCACAGUUUCACACCACCGGUCUCUUGUCCCUGCGUGCCGGCAAGCGAUAGCGGGUUAUGCGAUUGCUUCUGCUGGUGAACGAUGAUGACCUCGGCUCAAUGGCAAGCAACAAUCCUAUCCCCUGCCAGGCUGCCAUUAUGCUAGGGUGAUUUGGCGCUGGUAGUGUUGGGCACCCAUUCUCCAAAUUGAACACAACAGAAGACAUGAAUGGCCUAUCUUCAGGUUUUUCCUGUACACACAAAAGCCCCAUAUGGAUGCAAAGUGAUGCUUCAUCUAGCAAGCAGUUCUCAACUAUACAUUUGUCUACCAAAUCUCUUGCUUUGCCUUCCUUCCAGAGGUUCCACGCCUGAAACAAUCAUGUCACUCAUUGAGAUCGAAUAAUACUAAACACUUAAAACCCUUA